ACGGAGGGGGCUAGCGUUGUUCGGAAUUACUGGGCGUAAAGCGCACGUAGGCGGCUUUGUAAGUUAGAGGUGAAAGCCCGGGGCUCAACUCCGGAAUUGCCUUUAAGACUGCAUCGCUAGAAUUGUGGAGAGGUAAGUGGAAUUCCGAGUGUAGAGGUGAAAUUCGUAGAUAUCAAGAGGAACACCUGAGGCGAAGGCGGGUUGCUAGGCUGACACUGACGCUGAGGCGCGAAAGCCAGGGGAGCAAACGGGA
rnacentral:rRNA from 1 species